GCAAAGUUGAGAGCGUUGAGCAAUGCCGGGCCCCUGAGUUCCCCUUUGAUAACUCCCGUCUUCCUCCUGCACGGAAAUCAAGGAUCAGCUCCGAGGACCUG
rnacentral:lncRNA from 1 species